UCCGUUGUAGUCUAGUUGGUCAGGAUAUUCGGCUCUCACCCGAAAGACCCGGGUUCAUGUCCCGGCAAGGGAA
rnacentral:tRNA from 1 species